rnacentral:rRNA from 1 species
UACUCCUACGGGAGGCAGCAGUGGGGAAUAUUGGACAAUGGGCGAAAGCCUGAUCCAGCCAUGCCGCGUGUGUGAAGAAGGUCUUCGGAUUGUAAAGCACUUUAAGUUGGCAGGAAGGGCAGUAAGUUAAUACCUUGCUGUUUUGACGUUACCAACAGAAUAAGCACCGGCUAACUUCGUGCCAGCAGCCGCGGUAAU